GUUUUAGCCAGGGACGUGGACUUUCUCCGAUGCUCCGACGAACUUCCCCAUCGCCGGAUCAUGCGGAGAAGGUCCUCAUUCCUGGACAGCACAUGA
rfam:Actinomyces nasicola strain DSM 19116 Scaffold31, whole genome shotgun sequence.